rnacentral:lncRNA from 1 species
GGGCCUGGUCUCAAGACACAGUCAGUUGGGGAUCAGAGGCCACACUCAUCGUAGCAGAGAGGCAGGAACAGCUGGGCGAGGGUCCUUCUGUGACAUCUACUGCAUCACUGGGCUCUGUGAAGUGACUCAGCUGCCAGAACUCACACAAUAUUCUGCACCAAAACCUCACGGGAAAAAUGCAUCACGAACCUCAGACUUAAACAGCACAACAGGCUCCUCCCAGGUCUCCAGCUACACAACCCUCAGACUUAAACAACAGCAGCGGCACCAGCUCCUCCCUGGGUCUCCAGCUCCACAAACCUCAAAUUAGAACAGCAGCACUGGCUACACCCAGUCUCCAGCUCUACACCUCUAACUUGAACUACAGCCACCAGCUCCUUCCUGGGUCUCCGGCUCCACAGACCUUAAACGAAAACAGCAGCACUGGCUCCUCCCCAGGUCCCCAGCUACAGACCCUCAAACAAGAAGAACAGCAGCACCAGCUCCACCUAAAGUCUCCAGCUCCACACCUCAAACUAGAACUUCAGCACCCGCUCCUCCCCGAGUCUCAAUAUCUGUGACCCUCAAAAUAAAACAGCAGGACCAGCUCCUCCUCUGGUCUUCAGCUUCACGACCUUAACUGUAACAGCACCACCCGCUCCU